CCUACGGGAGGCAGCAGUGGGGAAUAUUGCUCAAUGGGGGAAACCCUGAAGCAGCAACGCCGCGUGGGGGAUGAAGGUUUUCGGAUUGUAAACUCCUUUUGUUAGAGAAGAUAAUGACGGUAUCUAACGAAUAAGCACCGGCUAACUCCGUGCCAGCAGCCGCGGUAAUACGGAGGGUGCAAGCGUUACUCGGAAUCACUGGGCGUAAAGAGCGCGUAGGCGGGAUAGCAAGUCAGGUGUGAAAUCCUAUGGCUUAACCAUAGAACUGCAUUGGAAACUGUUAUUCUAGAGUAUGGGAGAGGUAGGUGGAAUUCUUGGUGUAGGGGUAAAAUGCGUAGAGAUCAAGAGGAAUACUCAUUGCGAAGGCGACCUGCUAGACCAUAACUGACGCUGAUGCGCGAAAGCGUGGGGAGCAAACAGGAUUAGAUACCCCAGUAGUC
rnacentral:rRNA from 1 species